UUUUGUUGCAUGUGCUUGUUGAUACAAUUUUUAUGUUAUAAAUGGUGUUCGUCUUAUUUUAGCUUCUUUUUGUCCAUAUAAAUUAGGCGCGUUUAUAGGAAUAUACUUUCCGUGGAAUCCCGCAAAUUUUCUUAUUGGUGUAAUCGAUAACCGAAUCGAUAAGCCCCCUAAAUCGAUAAAUCAAAAUCAAAAAAAUCGAAACCUUAUUGAAACG
rnacentral:lncRNA from 1 species